rnacentral:rRNA from 1 species
UUGUUGGGGGGGUAAGGCCCUCCCCAGNNGUUGGGCGGGUACCCGCCCUNNAANGGGCNCCCGGCCACCCUGGGACUGNNACCCGGCCCCAGNNUCCUACGGGAGGCAGCAGUGGGGAAUUUUGCACAAUGGGCGAAANCCUGAUGCAGCGACGCCACGUGAGGGAUGACGGCCUUCGGGUUGUAAACCUUCUUUCAGCAGGGAAGAAGCGCAAGUGACGGUACCUGCAGAAGAAGCGCCGGCUAANUACGUGCCAGCAGCCGCGGUAAUACGUAGGGCGCAAGCGUUGUCCGGAAUUAUUGGGCGUAAAGAGCUCGUAGGCGGUCUGUCGCGUCUGGUGUGAAAUCUCAUGGCUCAACUGUGAGCUUGCAUCGGGUACGGGCAGACUGGAGUGCUGUAGGGGAGACUGGAAUUCCUGGUGUAGCGGUGGAAUGCGCAGAUAUCAGGAGGAACACCGAUGGCGAAGGCAGGUCUCUGGGCAGUUACUGACGCUGAGGAGCGAAAGCAUGGGGAGCGAACAGGAUUAGAUACCCUGGUAGUCCAUGCCGUAAACGUUGGGCACUAGGUGUGGGGCCAGUUCCACUGGUUCUGUGCCGUAGCUAACGCAUUAAGUGCCCCGCCUGGGGAGUACGGCCGCAAGGCUAAAACUCAAAGGAAUUGACGGGGGCCCGCACAAGCGGCGGAGCAUGCGGAUUAAUUCGAUGCAACGCGAAGAACCUUACCAAGGCUUGACAUGUACGAGAAAGCCCCAGAGAUGGGGUUCUCUUUGGACACUCGUACACAGGUGGUGCAUGGUUGUCGUCAGCUCGUGUCGUGAGAUGUUGGGUUAAGUCCCGCAACGAGCGCAACCCUUGUCUCAUGUUGCCAGCGGGUUAUGCCGGGGACUCAUGGGAGACUGCCGGGGUCAACUCGGAGGAAGGUGGGGAUGACGUCAAAUCAUCAUGCCCCUUAUGUCUUGGGCUUCACGCAUGCUACAAUGGCCGGUACAGAGGGCUGCGAUACCGUGAGGUGGAGCGAAUCCCAAAAAGCCGGUCUCAGUUCGGAUCGGGGUCUGCAACUCGACCCCGUGAAGUCGGAGUCGCUAGUAAUCGCAGAUCAGCAACGCUGCGGUGAAUACGUUCCCGGGCCUUGUACACACCGCCCGUCAAGUCACGAAAGUUGGUAACACCCGAAGCUCACGGCCCAACCCCUUGUGGUAGGGAGUGUCGAAGGUGGUUCGUCNUCGC